UACAGAGGGUGCGAGCGUUAAUCGGAAUUACUGGGCGUAAAGGGCGCGUAGGCGGUUAUUUAAGUUGGAUGUGAAAUCCCUGGGCUUAACCUAGGAACUGCAACCAAUACUGGAUAGCUAGAGUGCGGUAGAGGGUAGUGGAAUUCCCGGUGUAGCAGUGAAAUGCGUAGAUAUCGGGAGGAACAUCUGUGGCGAAGGCGACACCCUGGACCAGCACUGACACUGAGGCACGAAAGCGUGGGGAGCAAACAGG
rnacentral:rRNA from 1 species